rnacentral:rRNA from 1 species
GAUGAACGCUGGCGGCGUGCCUAAUACAUGCAAGUCGAGCGAAUGGAUUAAGAGCUUGCUCUUAUGAAGUUAGCGGCGGACGGGUGAGUAACACGUGGGUAACCUGCCCAUAAGACUGGGAUAACUCCGGGAAACCGGGGCUAAUACCGGAUAACAUUUUGAACCGCAUGGUUCGAAAUUGAAAGGCGGCUUCGGCUGUCACUUAUGGAUGGACCCGCGUCGCAUUAGCUAGUUGGUGAGGUAACGGCUCACCAAGGCAACGAUGCGUAGCCGCCCUGGGAGGGUGAUCGGCCACACUGGGACUGAGACACGGCCCAGACUCCUACGGGAGGCAGCAGUAGGGAAUCUUCCGCAAUGGACGAAAGUCUGACGGAGCAACGACGCGUGAGUGAUGAAGGCUUUCGGGGCGUAAAACUCUGUUGUUAGGGAAGAACAAGUGCUAGUUGAAUAAGCUGGCACCUUGACGGUACCUAACCAGAAAGCCACGGCUAACUACGUGCCAGCCGCCGCGGUAA